ACAUACGACCAUAGGGUGUGGAGAACAGGGCUUCCCGUCCGCUCAGCCGUACUUAAGCCACACGCCGGGAGGUUAGUAGUUGGGUGGGUGACCACCAGCGAAUCCCUCCUGUUGUAUUUU
rfam:Aspergillus parasiticus ST-1 211, whole genome shotgun sequence.